rnacentral:misc_RNA from 2 species
GGUUUAAUUACCCAAGUUUGAGAAGUUCUCGACUGCAAUC